UAGUGACCGCCCAUUUGCCAGGAUAGGAGAAGCGGGAAAACCGUUGGUCGCCAUGGUUUCCAAAACAAAGUAGCAAGAGGGAGGGGGAGGAGCCCUCGUGGCUCUUCUGGAAAGGAGGGUGCAGAGAGGCAAGAAAAGAGAACGUGGCUGGAAGCGGGAGGCAAGAAGUCAUAGCUCAGGAGUUCCGGGCUUUUGGCCUUGGGCCAGCCACAGAAGAUUGUGACUGGAAAAUUUUAAAAAACGACUGCUAUAAUUCAACCCUCUUUUACUACAGUGAAGGAACUGAGGCCCAGAAAACGGGACUCUUGUGACCAAGAUCACACAGUGCUGCAGCAACUGAAGAUGACUUGUGUUGAGAUGCUAGAGCUUCUCAAAUUUGAAGAAGCCUGAUUACUCAGUCACCAUAGAGAGGGAAGAUACUCUGGAGAGUUAUCUGAAACCACAACA